rnacentral:tRNA from 1 species
GCCUAGGUGGCAUAGUUGGUUAAGCAUCUGACUUCAGCUCAGGUCAUGAUCUCGUGGUUUGUGGGUUCAAGCCCCGUGUUGGGCU